rnacentral:rRNA from 1 species
AGAGUUUGAUCCUGGCUCAGAUUGAACGCUGGCGGCAUGCCUUACACAUGCAAGUCGAGCGGCAGCGCGGGGCAACCUGGCGGCGAGCGGCGAACGGGUGAGUAAUGCAUCGGAACGUGACCUGAGGUGUGGGAUAACCUAUCGAAAGGUAGGCUAAUACCGCAUGAGCUCGGAAGAGGAAAGGGGGGGAUCGCAAGACCUCUCGCCUUAGGGGCGGCCGAUGUCCGAUUAGGUAGUUGGUGGGGUAAAGGCCUACCAAGCCUGCGAUCGGUAGCUGGUCUGAGAGGAUGAUCAGCCACACUGGGACUGAGACACGGCCCAGACUCCUACGGGAGGCAGCAGUGGGGAAUUUUGGACAAUGGGGGCAACCCUGAUCCAGCCAUGCCGCGUGAGUGAAGAAGGCCUUCGGGUUGUAAAGCUCUUUCGGCGGGAACGAAAGCGCACUUAUUAAUACUAGGUGUGUAUGACGGUACUCGCAGAAGAG